rnacentral:rRNA from 1 species
GCCUACGGGGCGCAGCAGUGGGGAAUAUUGCGCAAUGGGCGAAAGCCUGACGCAGCGACACCGCGUGAGGGAUGAAGGUCUUCGGAUCGUAAACCUCUGUCCGCAGGGAAGAACGGUCACUGUGCUAAUCAGCAGUGAAUUGACGGUACCUGCGAAGGAAGCACCGGCUAACUCCGUGCCAGCAGCCGCGGUAAUACGGAGGGUGCGAGCGUUAAUCGGAAUUACUGGGCGUAAAGCGCUCGUAGGCGGUAUGUCAAGUCAAGGGUGAAAUCCCCGCGCCCAACGUGGGAACUGCCUUUGAAACU